rnacentral:misc_RNA from 1 species
AGCAACUGAACCAUAUCAAGGAUGUCCUCUUAGGAUAUCAGAAUCAUUAUUUAAGAAACCAACAUAUUGCAUAAUCAGAAAUGGAUUUCUAUCUAUACAACUAGAACGCAAAAUUAGAUGCAUAGAUUUCAUUAAACUUACAAACAGAACAAAGCAGAAAAGCCCACAUGUGGAAUAACAAAGCCUUUUUUAACCCAAAGGGAAUAACAACGCUUACAUGAUGAAGAAGUUUGGUUAACCA